GGGGCUGUAGCUCAGUGGUAGAGCACUUGCCUAGCACAAAUGAGCACUGGGUUCAAUUCUCAGCACCUCA
rnacentral:tRNA from 1 species